CCUACGGGAGGCUGCAGUGAGGAAUAUUGGUCAAUGGACGCGAGUCUGAACCAGCCAAGUAGCGUGCAGGAUGACGGCCCUCCGGGUUGUAAACUUCUUUUAGUUGGGAAUAAAAGGGUGCUCGUGAGCGUCGUAUUAUAUGUACCAUCAGAAAGGGACCGGCUAAUUCCGUGCCAAAAGCCCGGGUAAUACGGAGGGUCCGGGCGUUUUCCGGAUUUUUUGGGUUUAAAGGGAGCGUAGGGCGGUUUUUAAGUCAGCUGUGAAAGUUCGCGGCUCAACCGUGGAAUUGCAGUUGAAACUGGCGGCCUUGAGUGCAGACAGGGAUGCCGGAAUUCAUGGUGUAGCGGUGAAAUGCUUAGAUAUCACGAAGAACUCCGAUCGCGAAGGCAAGUGUCUGGGGUGCAACUGACGCUGAGGCUCGAAAGUGUGGGUAUCAAACAGGAUUAGAUACCCUGGUAGUC
rnacentral:rRNA from 1 species